CUUUAAUUGUCCAUCAUUUAGUUGGGCACUUUAAGAGACUGCCGGUGUUAAGCCGGAGGAAGGUGGGGAUGACGUCAAGUCCUCAUGGCCUUUAUGCCCAGGGCUACACACGUGCUACAAUGGGCGGUACAAAGAGAAGCAACCUCGCGAGGGUGAGCAAAUCUCAAAAAGCCGUUCUCAGUUCGGAUUGAAGUCUGCAACUCGACUUCAUGAAGUCGGAAUCGCUAGUAAUCGCGGAUCAGCAUGCCGCGGUGAAUACGUUCCCGGGCCUU
rnacentral:rRNA from 1 species